rnacentral:rRNA from 1 species
UACGUAGGGGUCGAGCGUUGUCCGGAGUUACUGGGCGUAAAGCGCGUGCAGGUGGCUCAUUACGCCCGGCGUGAAAGCCCCCGGCCUAACCGGGGAGGGUCGUCGGGGACGGGUGAGCUUGAGGGUCGCAGGGGCUGGUGGAAUUCCCGGUGUAGUGGUGAAAUGCGUAGAGAUCGGGAGGAACACCCGUGGCGAAGGCGGCCAGCUGGGCGAGCCCUGACACUGAGACGCGAAGGCGUGGGGAGCGAACGGG